AUUGAACGCUGGCGGCAUGCUUUACACAUGCAAGUCGAACGGUAACAGGCCGCAAGGUGCUGACGAGUGGCGAACGGGUGAGUAAUGCAUCGGAACGUGCCCAGUCGUGGGGGAUAACGCAGCGAAAGCUGUGCUAAUACCGCAUACGAUCUAUGGAUGAAAGCGGGGGACCGUAAGGCCUCGCGCGAUUGGAGCGGCCGAUGUCAGAUUAGGUAGUUGGUGGGGUAAAGGCUCACCAAGCCAACGAUCUGUAGCUGGUCUGAGAGGACGACCAGCCACACUGGGACUGAGACACGGCCCAGACUCCUACGGGAGGCAGCAGUGGGGAAGUUUGGACAAUGGGCGCAAGCCUGAUCCAGCAAUGCCGCGUGCAGGAAGAAGGCCUUCGGGUUGUAAACUGCUUUUGUACGGAACGAAAAGGUUUGGGUUAAUAUCCUGGGCCGAUGACGGUACCGUAAGAAUAAGCACCGGCUAACUACGUGCCAGCCGCCGCGGUAA
rnacentral:rRNA from 1 species